GUUGCCAGCGGUCCGGCCGGGAACUCAAAGGAGACUGCCAGUGAUAAACUGGAGGAAGGUGGGGAUGACGUCAAGUCAUCAUGGCCCUUACGACCAGGGCUACACACGUGCUACAAUGGCGCAUACAAAGAGAAGCGACCUCGCGAGAGCAAGCGGACCUCAUAAAGUGCGUCGUAGUCCGGAUUGGAGUCUGCAACUCGACUCCAUGAAGUCGGAAUCGCUAGUAAUCGUGGAUCAGAAUGCCACGGUGAAUACGUUCCCGGGCCUUGUACACACCGCCCGUCACACCAUGGGAGUGGGUUGCAAAAGAAGUAGGUAGCUUAACCUUCGGGAGGGCGCUUACCACUUUGUGAUUCAUGACUGGGGUGAAGUCGUAACAAGGUAACCGUAGGGGAACCUGC
rnacentral:rRNA from 5 species